rnacentral:lncRNA from 10 species
CAUAUUAGAGUCUACAGAUAUGCCUUUCUUACAGCAAUCCUGCACCCACAUAAAAGCUACAUUUUCAAUACAAGAUUAAAAGGUAUUCUGCAAAAUGUGCAAGGUUUUCAUGUCUGCUGGUGUAGCUGUAGUGAUGGCUUCAUGAAUUUUUUUCUUUUUUGACUAUGGUCCUUACGCUGGAUUCAUUUAUCUUGAAAUGGUGAACAAUCACAGCUGCAGACCCUCAAUUUAUGGUACAUAUCAAGCAAUUUGGCUUUUUUUCUUGUAAUGAAAAAAAAAAGUUUUUUUUGCUUUUUUUCAUGACACUGCUUCUUGGGAGCACUGCCAGCAUUACUAGUGGCACUUCGUAUGGGUCCUAAGGUGUUAUUGAAGGUUUACGAUAUUGCACUAAACACGAAAAAUACCAGAGAACCACUGGAGAUACUUUUUACUGUGAUAUGUAAUUUACUGGAGACAGGAACUGCUCGUUUGGAGAUGGUUAGCAUCACAGGGUGUUUUAAGUCGAUACUUGCAACCCUUGAGCUCACCACAGUAGCAACAGGAGGUGGCUAGGAAAUUAUUCACAGCAGGACAGUACGCACUGCAAUUAAUUGUAUGCAGUUAUGAUUUAAUACCACAUCUUUAUGCUCACGUUUCUCUCAACUGUGAAUGGUGCCAUGUACAGUUGGUAUGUGUGUGUUUAAGUUUUGAUAAAUUUUUAACUUUUAAUAGUUAAAAUAGUUAACUAUUGGUAUGGUAGGAAAUGAUAAAGUAGACUAGUAUCUGUAUACAUUUUCUGCAUUUAUGACAUACCUUUUUCUUCAUUUUUUUCAAUAUUUUAAUUGAAAAGUUCAUCCGAGUUUCAUCUAAGUUUUUUCAAAGUGAUACAAAUCUCCAAAAAAUUUUCCAAUAUAUGUAUUGAAAAAAUCCAGGUGUAAGUGGCUCUGCGCAGUCCAAACCUGUGUUGUUCAAGGGUCAACUGUGUAUGAAUCCAAGCGAAAGCUUUUCUUAACACCUCAUAAGAACUAUUUUUUAAAAAACAGGAACUAGCAUAGAGUAACCAUCACAGGUAAAGUGUAAUUUGUUAUCAGCCAUCUUUUGCCCAUUUCAGUACUGGUAGAAGGCUCAAUGGUAAAAAUAAAAACGGGACAGUCAGAAGAUCUGGAAGUCCUGACCCUGCUUUCACCUGGCAUGUGUAAUCCAGUCAUGCUCGUAUCAGUCUCUGUAGGAGCACUUGAAGGUAUUACAUAAAUGCUAUCUAACUCUGGGAAACGCCAACAUGUGAUUGCCUCCAGAGGAAUCUUCUUUAAAAAAAAAUUCAAAAUGUUAUUUCCUUACUAGGAUGUCUUUAAAGAAUUAUAACCCUUACCGUGCCUCCACAUUAGAUAGAUCCCUGCCACCAGCACCCAUGUGGCCACCAGCAGAGACAGCAGGAGGAGAGGCAGCCAGCCUCCCGGCUUGCUUUUGUCUGGAAAAAACAAAGCUUAUUCACCUUUGGAAAACAAAUCCACACUUAUCUCUUAAUUUAAAAACUAAGACUUGGUAUACUUUAUAGAGGUUUAUUUAUUUUUUAUUAUUUUUUAGUUUUGAGACAGAGUCUCGCUUUGUUGCCUAGGCUGGAGUGCAGUGGCGCAAUCUCGGUUCACUGCAGCCUCCGUCUCCCGGGUUCAAGCAAUGCUGCCUCAGCCUCCUGAGUAGCUGGGAUUACAGGCAUGUGUCACCGCGCCCAGCCACUUUGUAGAGAUUUAGAUCCCUUUAAAACCAUCAGUCAGAAGCUCUUUAGAGAGUCUGCCAAUCAUAUCUUUUUCCCUAGAGUGUGCAGGUCUUGCAUUAGAUUCUCAAAAGGGAUAUGGGACCCAGGAAGUUAAGAACAGUCCUAAAAUCUCUUUGGCUUCUUUGUCCUGAUAUGCACCGGCAUUUUCACAGUAGGAACUAGGGUUUCUGUCCAGUUUUUUUGGUUCUUUAAGGAAUUAAUGUUAUUCUGGGUACAACUGCUUACAUACAUAGCACAUAUAGAUGACAUUUUUACAGGCCGUCUUGUUAGACUGACAUACAUGGAGGAUAGUGCCACCCGCCUCACAAGAACAUCAGGUAAGCUCAGGCACAGAGUGCCCAGGAAUCUGUAAGGCUUCGCCCACGCACAAGUCAGGGCUGCCAGUCACCUGGGUUGUCUUCACUUUAUUUGGCUGCGUCUAAUGACACCUUCCAACUUUUGACCCCACCCCUGGACUGUUGUGUAAACAUUGUAUUUCUCCAUCUGUAAUGAAAAAGCUAACACAUCUCUAACUCCAGAGACAUUUUCCAGAACAUGCUGUUCUCAGGCACUAGUGAGGCGGUACCAUUAUUCCUCAUUUGUUAUCCAAAUGUUGGCCAUGUGACCACACCAAAAGCUCAUCCUGGGCCACUGAGACUGGUAAUUGAAUCAGAAUAUAGUGAAAUAUUCAUUCUCAUAUAUACCCAGCCAUCUUACAUCUUUGGCUUUUUUCAGCAGAUCCUUGUGGCACUCAGAACAUCCAUUUUGCACUGUGUAUUUUUUUCCCUUCUGUGUAUCCUGCUUUGUAAAGAGUCACGAGUGGUUUUACAAAUAAAGCCUGUUCUUACUCAG